UGCGUAGGCGGUUUCGUAAGUCGUGUGUGAAAGGCGGGGGGCUCAACCCCCCGGACUGCACAUGAUACUGCGAGACUAGAGUAAUGGAGGGGGAACCGGAAUUCUCGGUGUAGCAGUGAAAUGCGUAGAUAUCGAGAGGAACACUCGUGGCGAAGGCGGGUUCCUGGACAUUAACUGACGCUGAGGCACGAAGGCCAGGGGAGCGAAAG
rnacentral:rRNA from 1 species